AGAGUUUGAUCCUGGCUCAGGACGAACGCUGGCGGCGUGCUUAACACAUGCAAGUCGAGCGGAAAGGCCCUUCGGGGUACUCGAGCGGCGAACGGGUGAGUAACACGUGAGCAACCUGCCCUUAGCUCUGGGAUAGCUCCGGGAAACCGGAAUUAAUACCGGAUAUGACCCUGGCCGGCAUUGGCCGGGGUGGAAAGUUUUUCGGCUGGGGAUGGACUCGCGGCCUAUCAGCUUGUUGGUGGGGUAAUGGCCUACCAAGGCGACGACGGGUAGCCGGCCUGAGAGGGCGACCGGCCACACUGGGACUGAGACACGGCCCAGACUCCUACGGGAGGCAGCAGUGGGGAAUAUUGCGCAAUGGGCGAAAGCCUGACGCAGCGACGCCGCGUGGGGGAUGAAGGCCUUCGGGUUGUAAACCCCUUUCAGCAGGGACGAAGCGAAAGUGACGGUACCUGCAGAAGAAGCGCCGGCUAACUACGUGCCAGCAGCCGCGGUAACACGUAGGGCGCGAGCGUUGUCCGGAAUUAUUGGGCGUAAAGAGCUCGUAGGUGGUUUGCCACGUCCGCUGUGAAAACCUAGGGCUUAACCCUGGGCUUGCAGUGGAUACGGGCAGACUAGAGGUAGGUAGGGGAGAAUGGAAUUCCCGGUGUAGCGGUGAAAUGCGCAGAUAUCGGGAGGAACACCGGUGGCGAAGGCGGUUCUCUGGGCCUUACCUGACGCUGAGGAGCGAAAGCGUGGGGAGCGAACAGGAUUAGAUACCCUGGUAGUCCACGC
rnacentral:rRNA from 1 species